rnacentral:rRNA from 1 species
UGAUGCCAUACUUCCAGGAAAAGCCUCUAAGCUUCAGAUUAUAUGGAAUCGUACCCCAAACCGACACAGGUGGUCAGGUAGAGAAUACUAAGGCGCUUGAGAGAACUCGGGUGAAGGAACUAGGCAAAAUCGUACCGUAACUUCGGGAGAAGGUACGCUCCUAUCUGUGAUGAGACUUGCUCUCUAAGCGGACGGGAGCCGCAGUGACCAGGUGGCUGGGACUGUUUAUUAAAAACACAGCACUGUGCAAAAUCGCAAGAUGACGUAUACGGUGUGACACCUGCCCGGUGCCGGAAGGUUAAUUGAUGGGGUUAUCCUUAGGGAGAAGCUCUUGAUCGAAGCCCCGGUAAACGGCGGCCGUAACUAUAACGGUCCUAAGGUAGCGAAAUUCCUUGUCGGGUAAGUUCCGACCUGCACGAAUGGUGUAACCAUGGCCACGCUGUCUCCACCCGAGACUCAGUGAAAUUGAAAUCGCAGUGAAGAUGCUGUGUACCCGCGGCUAGACGGAAAGACCCCGUGAACCUUUACUACAGCUUGGCACUGAACAUUGAACCUACAUGUGUAGGAUAGGUGGGAGACUUUGAAGCAGCGACGCUAGUUGUUGUGGAGUCAACCUUGAAAUACCACCCUUGUAGUUUUGAUGUUCUAACGUUGGCCCCUGAAUCGGGGUUACGGACAGUGCCUGGUGGGUAGUUUGACUGGGGCGGUCUCCUCCUAAAGAGUAACGGAGGAGCACGAAGGUUGGCUAAGUACGGUCGGACAUCGUACGGUUAGUGUAAUGGUAGAAGCCAGCUUAACUGCGAGACAGACACGUCGAGCAGGUACGAAAGUAGGUCAUAGUGAUCCGGUGGUUCUGAAUGGAAGGGCCAUCGCUCAACGGAUAAAAGGUACUCCGGGGAUAACAGGCUGAUACCGCCCAAGAGUUCAUAUCGACGGCGGUGUUUGGCACCUCGAUGUCGGCUCAUCACAUCCUGGGGCUGAAGUCGGUCCCAAGGGUAUGGCUGUUCGCCAUUUAAAGUGGUACGCGAGCUGGGUUUAGAACGUCGUGAGACAGUUCGGUCCCUAUCUGCCGUGGGCGUUUGAGAAUUGAGAGGGGUUGCUCCUAGUACGAGAGGACCGGAGUGAACGAACCGCUGGUGUUCGGGUUGUCAUGCCAAUGGCAUUGCCCGGUAGCUACGUUCGGAACUGAUAAGCGCUGAAAGCAUCUAAGCGCGAAGCAGGCCUCGAGAUGAGUUCUCACUAGACUUUUAAAGUCUCUGAAGGGCCGUU